GCUGUCCUGGACCUGUCGGCACCACAGACAGUUGCUCUGCUGUGCCUGUGGCCUCGGGGCAAAGAGAAAGUAGCGAUUUCUACACUCAGUGCUCGGGAACCAGUGGGCAUUGAGAAUGGUUUUAUGGCCUGACAUUA
rnacentral:snoRNA from 1 species